UUACAGGGUGUCUGGGAGGCUAAUUAACCGGCGUUUUGUUUUGUUAUGCGGAGAAUUUUAGUUUGGCAGUAUUUUUGUGUUUUGCAAAACUGCUGGGAGUUUCAUUUCAAACUUUUUAUUUUUUCUGGACUUUCACUCUUGCCAUUUAGCUCUCCCGUACUGCGUGUGUUUUUGUAUUGUUCAUACAUCGCCGAAGGAAUGUUUUUUUCUUUUUGUUAUUAGAUCCAAAGGCAAACAAGCAAACAUUUGAACUUGGGGAAAAAGAGGCGCAAUGAAUCGGCAUUCUGACAGAGCCCGGAGCUUGGGCUGGCCUAAAAUAACCACCUUGCUGCUUAGAUUGAAUCGCCAUCUUCUGAGGACUGAAGAACGUCAUGAGGAAAUGACUGUAGACGAAACUGGUGGACCAUCUGAUGACUGACUGUUGGAUCUUAUUUUUUCUACAUCUACGCCCUCAAAUGCUCUGUAUUUAUACCGAAAUAACGGUCUCUGAUAUGAAUAGCUGGCACCUUUGAGCAGCUCUGAAUAUGGGAGGCAUAUAUUCACAGCGAUGGUUAAUUCGGUCAGUGCUUUUGAUCCACUGGACUGCAGUGACCUGCCCGCCAUCCUUAGAAAAGCAGAGAGGACCCCCUGCAGACCAGAUGCUCGGUUCUGUUUUUCACGGAGCCGUUACUUCUCAUAAGAGCAGGGGGGGAAACUUCAUGUAGCCUCAGGAAAAUGAAUAAUGAAUCAGAUGUGGAUUAUUUUUCAAUGUACUCUAUUAAAAAUGUUUAAAAUCAA